GUUAAAAAGCUCGUAGUUGGAUUACUGAAUGUGGUUGGUUGUAUUGGUGGCGCUGCCGUCAGUCGCCAUACUACGUUCAAAGCAUGUGAUGCUUGGGUGUGGUUGAUUAACUUCGAUCCGCCCUUAAAUCGCUCGUUUACUUUGAGAAAAUUAGAGUGUUCAAAGCAGGCAUUGUGCUUGAAUAUGUUAGCAUGGAAUAAUAGCAUAGGACUUCAUGUUCUAUUUGUUGGUUGUUCGAGAACUAAGGUAAUGAUUGAUAGGGACGGUUGGGGGCAUCCGUAUUCUCAAGCGAGAGGUGAAAUUCUUGGACCUUGGGAAGACGAACAGCUGCGAAAGCGUUUGCCUAGGACGUUCUCUUUAAUCAAGAACGAAAGUUGGGGGAUCGAAGACGAUCAGAUACCGUCGUAGUCUCAACUAUAAACUAUGCCAGCUAGGGAUCGGUGGUACUUCGUCACGAGUCCAUCGGCACCUUACGAGAAAUCAAAGCAUUUGGGUUCCGGGGGGAGUAUGGUCGCAAGGCUGAAACUUAAAGGAAUUGACGGAA
rnacentral:rRNA from 1 species